AGUCACUCCUUUUUUUUCUUAUUUCCGUCAAAAAUAACCACAUUUAGGUUGUGGAUUCUUCUUGAAAACGGCUUUAUUCAAUGAAAAAUGCUUAAAUUACUAAUGUACGAAGAGUACUACUGGAAAAUUGGGUACGGUGACUGCGAUAUCUCUGCCUAGGGUUCAACCAACGGAAUGCUGGGAGAGAGAUAGUGGGAACUCAAAAGAGCAAGGGCAUAAUUUCUAAAAGCAAAAACAAAGCAAAUCAUGUUGCAGUGGUCCUGGUUUUAUGAAUUUAUAAAGCUUUUUGCUGGGAUCAACCAUUGGUUCUUUAACGAAGAUGUGCAUUUGAGAUUUCAAUUGUCCUGUCGGAGAUUUUUGUGCAUCGAAAUGUGACCAGCUGUAGCUGUUGAAAAGAGUAUGCUGCAUAUGUGCUAAUGUCUGUGGUUUGUUAACAUUCUUGAAAACAUAGAGAUGCUGAGGUCCACCAGACUUUCCUCACUAAGUGUCUUAUAGAAACAUAUGUUGAUCGCAAGUAUUAUACUUGCUUUUUCUGGCUUCAUGAAUUAAACCUCAAAAAGAAGAAGAAGAAUACACAUCAAUUACCUCUUUUUCCAGGUCUAUCUUCAAAAGUAUGGACCUGAGAAUGAAAUUGGUCCUACAAGGAAUACAUAUUGUGACGGAACGACAAUCGUCGAAGCUUCCACUUUACAAGCAGCUGCCCAUGCAGCCUGAAAUGCCUGUGGUUACAACACAAGAAUUAAAGAUUUCAUGCAUCUACGAGCUGACAUAAUAGGAAUUGCAAAAAAUUUAGCCUAUAGUUUGUUGCUAAAUUGGAGUGUGGUAGAGAGCCAAUUCUAGGCCUCUAAGCAGAAACCAAAAGUAUUCAUGACUGAAACCCGACAAUUGCCUAAUACCAGAUACUUUAUUCACUCACUACACUUGGUGCAAUUAGUCACUCUACUAGUAGAUAAAGCUCAAUGGACAAUGAUGAUACGUGAAAGUUAGCCUGGAACUUUCUAGCUAGUGUCAUGGCAGGUGAAAAUUGGGA